GCCUUCAUGGUGCAACGGUAGCACACUACGGGCGUAUUCGAGAGGUCCAGGUUCGAAUCCCGGUGAGGAUA
rnacentral:tRNA from 1 species